rnacentral:piRNA from 1 species
UGGGAGUAUCCUGAAAAGAAGGGUAGGCGC